GAACGCGAAGAACCUUACCCGGGCUUGAAUUGCAGACGCAGGAUACAGAGAUGUUGACUCCCUUCGGGGCGUCUGUGAAGGUGCUGCAUGGUUGUCGUCAGCUCGUGCCGUGAGGUGUCGGCUUAAGUGCCAUAACGAGCGCAACCCCUUUCCUUAGUUGCCAUCAGGUCAUGCUGGGCACUCUGGGGACACUGCCACCGCAAGGUGUGAGGAAGGUGGGGAUGACGUCAAAUCAGCACGGCCCUUACGUCCGGGGCUACACACGUGUUACAAUGGCCGGUACAGAGGGACGGUGUAAUGCAAAUUGCAUCCAAUCUUGAAAGCCGGUCCCAGUUCGGACUGAGGUCUGCAACCCGACCUCACGAAGCUGGAUUCGCUAGUAAUCGCGCAUCAGCCAUGGCGCGGUGAAUACGUUCCCGGGUCUUGUACACACC
rnacentral:rRNA from 1 species